UCCAAUUCUAUGAUCCCGUGACUUGCAAAACACCCCAGAUGUGAAAUAGGAUGCUUUGUUACCUAACAUCACUAAGCACCAAGAAUAUUCUGCUGCUCUGUAGAUGAGGAAUAUACAUUUGAUGAAUGCAUGAAUGAACGGAUCAAAGGCAACGUAUAGACUGAGAAAAUGCCAAGCCAACUUUCUGCCUUCUCCUGUCCUACAUCCAGGCCUAUGAGAUUCCCUGGAGGAAAAAGACAGCAGCAAAUCCAUGUUUCUGCAAUUCUAUCUUCUCCUACCUGAGCCAGAGUCCCAGGAUCCACUCUCUCUGCUCAGCUAUCUAGACCUUAGAGGUACUGACCCUACUCUCUGCUCUUACCUGCCAGUGAAUAUUCCAUUAGUACUUUUGGGUUCUCUAUACUUGCCCAUACCUUUGUAAAUAGUCUCUUUAUUAAACUUUCCUCAAAUUUCCCGAUUCAGGGGUGUCAUCUCUUUCCCACCAGGACCAGGACCUGUAUAAGGUAAUUUAACACUACUAACAACUCAGGCCCUCCUGAGUCGCAUGAUGGUGUCUCUUGUGCUUCUGCUAACUUUUUAGCUCUGCCUAUCAGUCCCCUUUAGACAGUGGCUGAGUGUGAUGCUUAAGGAGAUGGGCUCCAGAACCAGACCAGGAGGUCUGUGCCACCAACCAGCAGUGUGACCUCGGGAAAUUUCCCAAACCUCUCUGUCUCAGUCUUCUCCUCUAUAAGUGGUGGAUAAGAUGCUUCCCUACCUCAAAGUCUAAUGGAGAUGAAAUGGCUUAAAACAUGUGAAGCACUUAGAAUAGUGCCUGGUGCACAUUAAACCAUAAAUGCUGGU